UGGGGAAUAUUGCACAAUGGGGGAAACCCUGAUGCAGCGACGCCGCGUGAGCGAAGAAGGCUUUCGAGUCGUAAAGCUCUGUCCUAUGAGAAGAUAAUGACGGUAUCAUAGGAGGAAGCCCUGGCUAAAUACGUGCCAGCAGCCGCGGUAAUACGUAUGGGGCGAGCGUUGUCCGGAAUUAUUGGGCGUAAAGGGUACGUAGGCGGUUUUUUAAGUCAGGUGUCAAAGCGUGGAGCUUAACUCCAUUAAGCACUUGAAACUGAAAGACUUGAGUGAAGGAGAGGAAAGUGGAAUUCCUGGUGUAGCGGUGAAAUGCGUAGAUAUUAGGAGGAAUACCGGUGGCGAAGGCGACUUUCUGGACUUUUACUGACGCUCAGGUACGAAAGCGUGGGGAGCAAACAGG
rnacentral:rRNA from 1 species